GGGAGGUCCUUGGUUGAUUUUGCUGCGAUGGCGGUCAGGCAAGAACCCUGCACUGGAGCUUCCUAUAAACUGUAGCGGGUUUUCUGAAGCUAGUGGAACUUUGUAAAGGCCUCGUAGUGGUGCCCUGCCUCGCUUCCUUGGUAGAGGUGUAUGGGGUCUGAUAAACUUCGUGGCAAAUGGGUAACACGACUUGUGGGUAAAGAUGCGCAACAUCUGCAGAGUGUAAAACUGGUAUACUAGCCGUGCUCACGGUCAUGAGCGGCUCGGACACUCACAUGAUUAAUUUAUGGAACUUAAACUUAAUUUGUCAUUUCAUUGCAUCUGGGAUUAUUUUACUAUUACUUUUAUUUAUUAUUUCUAAGGUUCGGUAUUUACUUACACUUAGUAAUUGCUAAUAAAAUUUUGACCAACUUAUAAAAGCAAUGCUCAGCUUCAGCCUUUAUUUCAUUGAUCAGCCUUACACUUCAUGAACUCCCACCUUUGGUGAGUUCAUGUCACAUUAUUCCCCACGACUUGUUGAGCUAUGAUCGUAUGUGAGCUCACUCUUGCUGUCUCACACCCCCCACAGGAGAAGAGCAGGUGGUCGAAGAGGAGCCGCCUAACACUGAGGCUUUCGACUUGAUCUAGGUGGCGUCUCCGAGUCAACUUUCUGGCGCCAAGGAUAGAUUUUAGACCCUGUUAUAUUUAUCUUUUAUUUUUGUAAGUCUUCCGCUAUGUAAUAAAUACUCUGAUUAUCAUGACAUUUAUCUCUAUACACUCUGUUAUUAUAUAUGUUGUCUUCUUUGGCGCAUGUAUGAGAUGCACCCG
rnacentral:lncRNA from 1 species